rnacentral:ribozyme from 1 species
ACUCGUCCCGGCGAGUAUAAACAGGGCAUCAAGCCGGGAGCGUCCCGCCGAUCUGGCGGGGGUUGC